AAACCCGUAACCACCCCCACGCUCAAUUCCUCACCUCUCUGACCGAUUCAUCAGCCACCAAUCCAUCCCUUUGCAACCCAACCUCACGGACACAUCUAUCAUCCCUCUGCAACCAUCUACCUUAGGCCAAUCCCCCCACCUUCUUCUUCCAUUUUUAUGACCAAACAUUUUCCAUCAUCCCCAAAUCUUCAUCUUCACACAAUCAUCAAAUCUCCAUUACUCCCACCGUGUCUUUCAUUCCCAAGACUCACCUCCAAGAGUAUCCAGAUUUCACACACAACGACAGAGUAACAAACAUAUCCUNAAACUAAAAAAACAGAGAGACAAAAAUUAAUCCCCAUCUUCAUCACGCACGACACCACAACAGAAAUCCAAAACNUCCAAAUUCAAUCAAAGAGAGGAGAGAGAUCGAGGACGCCACGGCCAGUCGUGUUUCCGGUGGCUUCUGGUGUUGCCGGCGAGGCUUUGGGCCGGACGGGAUCUGUGGUCCGUUAGGCGAGGACUGGUUGAGGCUACGGUGGCCCUGCGAGAAGGUUGCAUCUCCAUGGGGUGGUUUUCGUUUUCCUUGGGAGGAGCUCUAGGUUUGCCAAAAGUUGAAAUGUGCAAAUGAAAUGCAGCUUGGGAGAACCCCUUUAGGGUUUCACAGGGAGGUUGGGAUGGUUUUCUGCGAGCUUGGGAUACUUGGGCCNGCGCUGGCCAUUAAAAAAAAGUAACAAAAAUAAAGGCUUUCUGUACCCCUUUGGUUCCAAUCAACACACCUUUAAAUCGGGUCCAGAUCUGGCCUAACUCAAAAACAAAUUAAUUAAAAAAAAAACGUUUCUGCACCCCUCAUUCUGCUGUAUCACCCCAUCCCAAUUCUGCAAACACAAAAAACCGAAAAAGAGUUNUUGGGCCUGGUCAGCAAAAUAUCCAGUGCCACCCCCUAAUCUUCAAAGUUGCACUCCUUCAUUCAUUUGGACCUCUGCCUGACCAGCAACUACUACAUGCACCCCUUAUUUUCAUCUGGUGCACCCAUCUGUGGAUUGGACUAAGAUUUCAAAUGGCACCCCGGUUUUUAAUUUCUACACCCUAUUCUUUCUUGCUUAUUCCUUUGUGUUUUUUACUACAUGUAACAGUCCCACCCCAUUUCUUGUACUUUUAUCUAAAUUAAAAAUAAAAAUACAAAAUAAUUAUAUUCUGAUUGUCAUGUCAAGUCUCGGAUUUGCUUGAUAAUCAUCAUUUUUAUAAUUAUUUGAUCGUCAUGUCAAGUCUCAGACUUGCUUGAUAAUUAUUUUCAUAAUAAUAAUUCCAAUUAUCAUGUCAAGUCUCAGAUUUGCUUGAUAAUUUUGUUUUUCAUAAUAAUAAUUUUAAUUAUUAUGUCAAGUCUUGGAUUUGCUUGAUAAUUAAAUAAAUAAUAAUAAUAAUAAAU
rnacentral:lncRNA from 1 species